rnacentral:rRNA from 1 species
CUAGUGGCGAGUGGCGAACGGGUGAGUAAUAUAUCGGAACGUACCCAGUAGUGGGGGAUAGCCCGGCGAAAGCCGGAUUAAUACCGCAUACGAUCUACGGAUGAAAGCGGGGGAUCGCAAGACCUCGCGCUAUUGGAGCGGCCGAUAUCUGAUUAGCUAGUUGGUAGGGUAAAAGCCUACCAAGGCUACGAUCAGUAGCUGGUCUGAGAGGACGACCACUACACUGGAACUGAGACACGGUCCAGACUCCUACGGGAGGCAGCAGUGGGGAAUUUUGGACAAUGGGCGAAAGCCUGAUCCAGCAAUGCCGCGUGAGUGAAGAAGGCCUUCGGGUUGUAAAGCUCUUUUGUCAAGGAAGAAACGGUAGAGGCUAAUAUCCUUUGCUAAUGACGGUACCUGAAGAAUAAGCACCGGCUAACUACGUGCCAGCAGCCGCGGUAGUACGUAGGGUGCAAGCGUUAAUCGGAAUUACUGGGCGUAAAGCGUGC